rnacentral:rRNA from 1 species
UACGUAGGGGGCUAGCGUUGUCCGGAAUCAUUGGGCGUAAAGCGCGUGUAGGCGGUCCGGUAAGUCCGCUGUGAAAGUCGGGGGCUCAACCCUCGAAUGCCGGUGGAUACUGUCGGGCUAGAGUGCGGAAGAGGCGAGUGGAAUUCCUGGUGUAGCGGUGAAAUGCGCAGAUAUCAGGAGGAACACCGGUGGCGAAGGCGCUGCUCUGGGCCGAUACUGACGCUGAGGAGCGAAAGCGUGGGUAGCAAACAGG